rnacentral:misc_RNA from 1 species
GAUGAAGAACGUAGCAAAAUGCGAUAAGUAAUGUGAAUUGCAGAAUUCAGUGAAUCAUCGAAUCUUUGAACGCACAUUGCGCCCGCCAGUAUUCUGGCGGGCAUGCCUGUUCGAGCGUCAUUUCAACCCUCAAGCCCCCGGGUUUGGUGUUGGGGAUCGGACUGUACUCCAGCCCGGCCCCGAAAUCUAGUGGCGGUCUCGCUGCAGCCUCCAUUGCGUAGUAGCUAACACCUCGCAACUGGAACGCGGCGCGGCCAAGCCGUUAAACCCCCAACUUCUGAAUGUUGACCUCGGAUCAGGUAGGAAUACCCGCUGAACUUAAGCAUAUCAAUAAGCGGAGGA